rnacentral:rRNA from 1 species
UACGAAGGGUGCAAGCGUUACUCGGAAUUACUGGGCGUAAAGGGUGCGUAGGUGGUUGUUUAAGUCUGUUGUGAAAGCCCCGGGCUCAACCUGGGAAUGGCAAUGGAUACUGGACAGCUAGAGUGCGGUAGAGGGUAGUGGAAUUCCCGGUGUAGCAGUGAAAUGCGUAGAGAUCGGGAGGAACACCAGUGGCGAAGGCGGCUACCUGGAUCAGCACUGACACUGAAGCACGAAAGCGUGGGGAGCAAACAGG